GAAGCGGCAACAGCUCAAAUUUGAAAUCUGGCCCUUUCGGGGUCCGAGUUGUAAUUUGUAGAGAGUGUUUCGGGUGAGACCACGGUCUAAGUCCAUUGGAACAUGGCGUCAUAGAGGGUGAGAAUCCCGUACGUGACUGUGGAUCGAGCCCAUGUGAAGCCUCUUCGACGAGUCGAGUUGUUUGGGAAUGCAGCUCAAAAUGGGUGGUAAAUUUCAUCUAAAGCUAAAUACUGGCUGGAGACCGAUAGCGCACAAGUAGAGUGAUCGAAAGAUGAAAAGCACUUUGGAAAGAGAGUCAAACAGUACGUGAAAUUGUUGAAAGGGAAGCGCUUGCAACCAGACCUGUCCGUAGGUGAUCAGCCGCUGUUCUCAGUGGUGCACUCGCUCUGCGAUCAGGCCAGCAUCGGUUCGGGCGGUCGGAUAAAGGCCUUGGGAAUGUAGCUUCCUUCGGGGAGUCUUAUAGCCCUCGGUGCAAUGCGGCCAGCCGGGACCGAGGACCGCGCUUCGGCUAGGAUGCUGGCGUAAUGGUUGUAAGCGACCCGUCUUGAAACACGGACCAAGGAGUCUAACAUCUAUGCGAGUGUUUGGGUGUCAAACCCAUGCGCGGAAUGAAAGUGAACGGAGGUGAGAACCCUGAAGGGCGCAUCAUCGACCGAUCCAGAUGUCUUCGGAUGGAUUUGAGUAUGAGCAUAGCUGUUGGGACCCGAAAGAUGGUGAACUAUGCCUGAAUAGGGUGAAGCCAGAGGAAACUCUGGUGGAGGCUCGCAGCGGUUCUGACGUGCAAAUCGAUCGU
rnacentral:rRNA from 1 species